rnacentral:tRNA from 1 species
CCGUGGUUAGCUGAGUUGGUAGAGCGCUCCACUGGAAAUGGAGAGGUCCCGGGUUCGAUACCCGGACCAGGCG